UACGUAGGGGGCGAGCGUUGUCCGAAGUUACUGGGCGUAAAGAGCGCGUAGGCGGGCCAUUAAGUCUGGUGUGAAAGGUUCAGGGCUCAACCCGAACAGUGCGCCGGAGACUGGGGGCCUUGAGUGGGGGAGAGGGGGGCGGAAUUCCGGGUGUAGCGGUGAAAUGCGUAGAUAUCCGGAGGAACACCGAUGGCGAAGGCAGCCCCCUGGCCUCUUUACUGACGCUGAGGCGCGAAAGCGUGGGGAGCGAACGGG
rnacentral:rRNA from 1 species